rnacentral:rRNA from 1 species
AGUGAACGCUGGCGGUAGGCCUAACACAUGCAAGUCGAACGGCAGCACAGUAAGAGCUUGCUCUUACGGGUGGCGAGUGGCGGACGGGUGCGGAAUACAUCGGAAUCUACUUUUUCGUGGGGGAUAACGUAGGGAAACUUACGCUAAUACCGCAUACGACCUACGUGUGAAAGCAGGGGAUCUUCGGACCUUGCGCGAUUGAAUGAGCCGAUGUCGGAUUAGCUAGUUGGCGGGGUAAAGGCCCACCAAGGCGACGAUCCGUAGCUGGUCUGAGAGGAUGAUCAGCCACACUGGAACUGAGACACGGUCCAGACUCCUACGGGAGGCAGCAGUGGGGAAUAUUGGACAAUGGGCGAAAGCCUGAUCCAGCCAUACCGCGUGGGUGAAGAAGGCCUUCGGGUUGUAAAGCCCUUUUGUUGGGAAAGAAAAGCAGCAGGUUAAUACCCCGCUGUUCUGACGGUACCAAAAGAAUAAGCACCGGCUAACUUCGCG